AGGGGAACUCUGACAACAUGCUGAUUAA
rnacentral:sRNA from 1 species